UGAUUCAGAUGAACCCACUCAGCCCCAACAUCUUUCGAUUCAAAAGCGAGACUCGCCGAUCAAUGCAUUCGCUUACCCCUUUCGGGUUUGAUGAUGUGAUCACUAGAGUUCACCAUAGCCCGGUCAAGGCUCCUCAGAAGGUUUGCAGUCGCCUUAUAAGGUUUUGGAUGCAACUGCUUUGCAAGACGAUUUAUAUUCGAACCUUGUCGAUUGGUCUUUGCACAAUGUGCUUGCUAUUGGGUUGGGAAAUUUUGUUUAUUUAUGGAAUGCUUCUUGUAGCACGGUAAUCUCUGGCUUUACUUUGCUUCUCUUUCUUAUCUUAACAUUGUUGUUGUAAUUUGAGGCAAACGUGGAUGUUUUUCAAUGUCACAAGUCACAACCUUUUAAUGACUAUAACUUUUUUUCGAUCAUGUGUGAGUAUUUUUCUUGGUGUAUGUAUGAAAUUGAUCACUUUGAGUCUUUGCCGAUGUAAUAUUUUUGAUUUUACGAUUGAAUGUUACUUGCAGUUAACAAAGUUAUGUGACUUGGGAAUUGAUGAUAGUGUCUGUUCCGUUGGCAGGGGUUAAUGCGGAACUCAUCUAGCAGUUGGAACUAGCAACGUGGAACCCAUUCACAUCUGAUAGACAUGUUGCAUUCUUAGACAUUUGAAAUUGAGAUGUUAUUUUUAUAUUUAUAAUAUUGCAAAGUGGAAUUACAAGUCUAGUUGCAACAGAAUCCACAAUGUAGAUAUUUGAACAACAAGUUUGUGACAUUAAUAUGGGGAAUACGAUCCUUAAACAACAAAACGCGUGAAAUAUAUUGCAGAAUUUGUGGAAAUUUUUGUUAUUAGAAUGUAUACUAAUACAAAUAACAAGGUCAUAUCUAGCUGUAUAUUCUUGUCUAGUCUGUGGUGUGACAAGGCCCACCAACACAUCACGUCAAAUAUUGAUAGGGUGGAAUUAGACAUUAUCUAUUUACUCAUUCUAGAAUCUCCAACUUUUGUUUUGAUGUCCAGAUUCCAUAGAUGUCUUUAAGUGUUCAUUGUUGUAUAGGAAUAUGAAUAGGUGAGUUGAAACCUCCAUGCCCUUCUCAUUACAUUGUGGAUUUGUGACGAUGUUUGGUAAUAUGAGUCUAAACACAAUAGGAUUCUUAUUUUGGCGACUUCGAUUUGUUCGAUUUUUUGCACAAUUAUUCAAACAUGAAUAAAAUUUUGACUAGUGGUCUAGUUAUAUGCGACAUGCUUCUUCUGUGUUCGCCCUUUGUUAGAACCAAGUCAGUGUAUACAAUAAUCAGAUUAGGAUUGUAUUUUAUGUUACAAUUAGAUAUUCAACACAGUUGCAUGGGAGCAACAAGCAACGACAAGAGUGAGAAGAAGAAGGGAGACAGAGGUGAGAUAAAGAAGGAGGAAAACCCCAUCACCGUCAUCCUCAAGGUUGUCAAAUGCGUCAAAGAUUUUGGAGGUAUAAUAAUAUUAAAUCCUUCAAAACCCUUUGCUUAACUAUUGCAUAAUAAAUUCUCAAGGUCCGCAAGCCAAGUCAUUGUGUCUACUUCUAGAGAAAGAAAGUGGGAGUGAGAGAGAAAGCGAUCUGAAUGGUGGUGGAAUUAGGGUUGUACAACAAAAGAAGCAUCAGAGAAAAAUGGGGACUCUUCAAACAUGCAGGAAAGCCAACGGUGCUAUCAAAGACUCUACAAAAGUCGGCCUUGCCCACAUCAACAACGAUUACACGAUAAUUGAGAAUGAACAGCUUCAAUUAAGAAAGACUUACUGUGUUAAGAUUGCACACAACAUUUCCACCAGGAAGAGGGAGGUGAUCAAUGAGCGUAUAGCCCAAUUUGAUGUUGUUACCAACAAAAUUGCCAAGAGGACAAGUAAAUCUUGAAGUUGUUUUGGUUUAUUUUGCUGUGUGUUUUCCUACAAUGCUAGUUUCAGAAUUUUGGGAGAAAUUUUAUUCAAGAUGCUACUUUGUUUUCAACUUGGUGUUGUUGAAUCUAUACUAUUUUACUAAUCUAGUCAUGUUUGACGAUAUUAAGUUCUACCAACUCGUUUGAUUUUGCCA